rnacentral:piRNA from 1 species
UACCAUUCGACUGUGGGUAAUGAGGC